CAGUCGCCACGGUAAUACGAAGGGUGCAAGCGUUAAUCGGAAUUACUGGGCGUAAAGCGCGCGUAGGUGGUUUGGUAAGAUGGAUGUGAAAUCCCCGGGCUCAACCUGGGAACUGCAUCCAUAACUGCCUGACUAGAGUACGGUAGAGGGUGGUGGAAUUUCCUGUGUAGCGGUGAAAUGCGUAGAUAUAGGAAGGAACACCAGUGGCGAAGGCGACCACCUGGACUGAUACUGACACUGAGGUGCGAAAGCGUGGGGAGCAAACAGGAUUAGAUACCCCAGUAGUCCCUGUCUCUUAUAA
rnacentral:rRNA from 1 species